GGGAAUCUUCGGCAAUGGACGAAAGUCUGACCGAGCAACGCCGCGUGAGUGAAGAAGGUUUUCGGAUCGUAAAACUCUGUUGUUAGAGAAGAACAAGGACGUUAGUAACUGAACGUCCCCUGACGGUAUCUAACCAGAAAGCCACGGCUAACUACGUGCCAGCAGCCGCGGUAAUACGUAGGUGGCAAGCGUUAUCCGGAAUUAUUGGGCGUAAAGAGCGCGCAGGUGGUUAAUUAAGUCUGAUGUGAAAGCCCCCGGCUCAACCGGGGAGGGUCAUUGGAAACUGGGAGACUUGAGUGCAGAAGAGGAGAGUGGAAUUCCAUGUGUAGCGGUGAAAUGCGUAGAUAUAUGGAGGAACACCAGUGGCGAAAGCGGCUCUCUGGUCCGUAACUGACGCUGAGGUUCGAAAGCGUGGGUAGCA
rnacentral:rRNA from 1 species